GAGGAACAGGCUGUCACAGUGGAAGAGGAGGUAGAAGCUUUCAGAAUGAAAAAGGAGGAAGAGGAGGCUGUUUCAGUGAAAGACGAACCUUUUGGGGAGGAAGAGGAGCCUGUCUCAAUAAAAGAGAAGGUUGAAGCUUUUCUGGGAGUGAAAGAGGAGGAGACAGAAGAUCUUAUUAACAGCAUGGGAGCAGCAGUGCCGUCCUACUGGUUUGGCAGUCUCUAGGUCUGGUUCCCCUGAAUGACUCUUCCCCAAGUCUGGUUCCCCUGAAGGUCUCCUCCCUGGGUCUGGUUCCACUGAAGGUCUCCUCCCUGGGUCUGGUUCACCUGAAGGCCUCUUCCCUGGGUCAGUACGGGUGCAUCAAAGCUGGGACCGAGAGACUGAAAAACAGCUUCCAUCUCAAGGCC